rnacentral:rRNA from 1 species
AUUGAACGCUGGCGGAAUGCUUUACAUAUGCAAGUCGAACGGUAGAGGGGGCAACCCCUCGAGAGUGGCGAACGGGUGAGUAAUAUAUCGGAACGUGCCCAGUCGUGGGGGAUAACGUAGCGAAAGUUACGCUAAUACCGCAUACGAUCUAAGGAUGAAAGCGGGGGAUCGCAAGGCCUCGCGCGAUUGGAGCGGCCGAUAUCAGAUUAGGUAGUUGGGGGGGUAAAGGCUCGCCAAGCCAACGAUCUGUAGCUGGUCUGAGAGGACGAACAGCCACACUGGAACUGUGACACGGUCCAGACUCCUACGGGAGGCAGCAGUGGGGAAUUUUGGACAAUGGACGCAAGUCUGAUCCAGCCAUUCCGCGUGCAGGAUGAAGGCCCUCGGGUUGUAAACUGCUUUUGUACGGAACGAAAAGGUCUCUCUUAAUACGGGGGGCUCAUGACGGUACCGUAAGAAUAAGCACCGGCUAACUACGUGCCAGCCGCCGCCGUAA